AGUGAACGCUGGCGGUAGGCCUAACACAUGCCAGUCGAACGGCAGCACAGUAAGAGCUUGCUCUUACGGGUGGCGAGUGGCGGACGGGUGAGGAAUACAUCGGAAUCUACUUUUUCGUGGGGGAUAACGUAGGGAAACUUACGCUAAUACCGCAUACGACCUACGGGUGAAAGCAGGGGAUCUUCGGACCUUGCGCGAUUGAAUGAGCCGAUGUCGGAUUAGCUAGUUGGCGGGGUAAAGGCCCACCAAGGCGACGAUCCGUAGCUGGUCUGAGAGGAUGAUCAGCCGCACUGGAACUGAGACACGGUCCAGACUCCUACGGGAGGCAGCAGUGGGGAAUAUUGGACAAUGGGCGCAAGCCUGAUCCAGCCAUACCGCGUGGGUGAAGAAGGCCUUCGGGUUGUAAAGCCCUUUUGUUGGGAAAGAAAAGCAGCAGGUUAAUACCCCGCCGUUCUGACGGUACCCAAAGAAUAAGCACCGGCUAACUUCGUG
rnacentral:rRNA from 1 species